CUACACUAUUGCCCUGCUACCUCAAAGUUUCUCCAUAUAAUACUGGCAUUUACAUAUAUAGCUCUGGCAGGUGCAGUUCCCCUGUAGACACACGUGGGGGCGCUGUUCUGUCUUGUUGAUGGAGCAUUGAGCGACGAGAAGAAGACUGACGUACCUAUAAAAGGCGCGGUUCAGAGACGGGUGACUAGUUGUUGAUGCAAUGACACUGAUGGAAGAACUUUUAAAACAUAUUAGGCGUUCAAAUACACACAAGAGCAGAAAGAAAAUUCUGAAAUGGAUGCAGAAACGUGGUAUCCUGGCGACGACGAUGAAGUGCGCAAAAUGCAACCGUCACAUGCAUCUGGUGAAAUGCCAUGUCAAGGAUGGGCUGUGGUGGGUCUGUAAGCAUCAUAAAAGUUUCCCAAAGUAUGUACGUAAUGGCUCAAUAUUCACCAAGUC
ensembl:lncRNA